AGCCUUUGGAAAGGAUUAAAGGUUAUACCUGCCCAAUGUUAUAUUAAUGGCCGCGGUACUUUGACCGUGCUAAGGUAGCACAAUCAAUUGGCCCUUAAUUAGGGUCAGGUAUGAAUGGAGUUACGGGGCUUAGCUGUCUCUAGACUAUUUAAUUGAAGUUGCUAUAUAGGUGAAAAAGCCUGUAUUAAGAAAAAAGACGAGAAGACCCUUAGAGUUUUACUUAAAAAAGAGUUAUUUCUUCACUAGUUUUGUUGGGGCAACAUAGGAGAAGAACUAAACCUCCUAAAGGAUAUAAACCGAUGUUUUUAAAUGUGAAUAAACUACCUUAGGGAUAACAGCAUAAUUUUAAAAAUAAGUUUGUGACCUCGAUGUUGGACUAGGAAACUUAAGGGCUAGCCGCCU
rnacentral:rRNA from 1 species